rnacentral:rRNA from 1 species
CCAAUAGCGUAUAUUAAAGUUGUUGCAGUUAAAAAGCUCGUAGUUGAAUUUCGGGGUUAGUAAGUUGGUCGUGCCUAUGGUAUGCACUGGCUUUACUGAUUCCUCCUUCUUGAAGAACUGUAAUGUCAUUAAUUUGGUGUUGCAGGGAAACAGGACUGUUACUUUGAAAAAAUUAGAGUGUUUAAAGCAGGCUAACGCUUGAAUACAUUAGCAUGGAAUAAUGAAAUAGGACGUUUGAUCCUAUUUUGUUGGUUUCUAGGAUUGACGUAAUGAUUAAUAGGGAUAGUUGGGGGCAUUAGUAUUCAAUUGUCAGAGGUGAAAUUCUUGGAUUUAUUGAAGACUAACUACUGCGAAAGCGUUUGCCAAGGAUGUUUUCAUUAAUCAAGAACGAAAGUUAGGGGAUCGAAGACGAUCAGAUACCGUCGUAGUCUUAACCAUAAACUAUGCCGACUAGGGAUCGGAUGAUGUUAAUUUUUUAAUGACUCAUUCGGCGCCUUACG